rnacentral:tRNA from 1 species
GCGGGCAUAGUAUAGUGGUAGUACGUAACCUUCCCAAGGUUAGGGUGUGGGUUCGAUUCCCAUUGUCCGCU